rnacentral:lncRNA from 1 species
CAGACGGUGAGGAAGGAGCCUCUCAUUUUGUUCCGCACUGUGGAAUACUGGGCACCCGAUCCUUGGUUCGUGGUGGUUCUUACACUCACUGGAGCGCUUCUUCUGUCUGCCUUGGGUUUGCUGUUUUGGCGGCUGUGCUUGAGGAAGUCUCCGGGGAAGACAUCUCCACCCCUACUACAGAACAAGGACAAAGAACUGGAAAAAAACAUCCUGACGGAAGAGCCAAGCAAGGAGAAAGGAAAAGGUUCUGCUGAUGUGCUGAGUCUGGUAUGGCACAGCUUAAGUUUCAGUUGUCUCAAUUAUCGUGUGCUGGGGCUGGCGCUCCAUGUUGUUAUC